CAGCGAUGUUACCGAGAGUGUAACGAAGGUGUCACGCGCUGGGAAGGAGCUUGAUGACGUAGGUGCCAAUUUAACUGGGUCCCUGUCUUGUCACAACGCAAAAGAUAUCAAGUACCAGUUUAUGGUGAGACAACAUGGCAUCCGAUACCUUGCCUGGUCCGAAGAAGUUCCCUUGACCCUUCAAGAAAUCGCAAAACCAUACGAUUUUGAACCAAAACGAGCAAGCUUCGCGGUAUGGAAACGAUGAAAAUCAAGUGGAAACAAGAGAAGACCCACAUCACCUAAUUUCUCACCCGACCCCGACUCGACAUCUACACAAUUAGGCCUACCAGUGACAACGUGAAUCUAUCUACACCUCAUAAACAAGAGGUUCACUUUGGGGAUUUGCAGAAAUAGUUGAAGAAUCAGAGAAAAGUUAUUCCAUCUUGUGUUGUCGAGGUGAUUCAUGAAAGAUUUCCAUCUGAUGUAUGUAAUGUUUUUCUCUAUGCUCAUUAAAAUAAACUUUUUUCGUUGAAAUCUUGUUUUAUGGUCUCUGACAACAAUCAGCCUUUGCUGUUUCAUUUGAUAAGUUUCUGUAAUACAGGAUGGCUGAUGCUGGAUCAGGUAGUUUUGGGCAAGGG